CCAAGCAGGGAAGGCCACGGAGUCCUGCCGUGGUCAGAGCAGAGGAAGCCCAGCAGUCCUUCAGGGGGACAGCGUGGGCAGCGGCACACCGCAGCAGCCACCGCAAUACCCACAGGCCUCAGAGGCUCGCCAUGGGCCAGCCCAGGCCCUCCACGAGCUUCGGGCCUCCUGGGCAGAGUCAGUAAAGCACCAAGGCUUCCCGAGGGCUGUUCUGCUUCCCAGGCCAGCGGCUGCUCGGGUGGGUCUUGAUACGGUUUUGCUUUCYCCUCUUCUUCCCGGCCUCCAAUCCCUCUGCAGACGAAGACGGGGUCUGGGUCCUGGGGUCAUGCCUUUCAGUACAGAAAGGCCCAAAGAAGAUCAAACUCUCCAUCCACCAGAAACGAGUCCUCUGAGCAUGGUGACAGUGACACUCAGGAUAGCUGGCUCUACGGCACUUCCUCUAACAGUGACUGUGGACACACGUCAGUAUGCUGUAUAGAAAGGUAUGGACUCAGCCACCCGUGGACGGGUGCUGAGAGUCCGCUCAGGUGAGCCUUUCCAGACCCCCCUGCCCCCCGACAGCCCACCUGAUCUGCGCUCUGCCCACKACUUAGCCCUGCGCCCCGACUGUGCAGCAGCUCCUCAGUGCUGCAGAUGUUCGGGGAAUGACUCCGACAGAGGGCUUUCUGUCUCGUUGUCUCAUCUCCUUAGGAAAAUUUCCAGGAAGGAGAGUUUCAGGCUCACAGGGAGUAGGCAUUGUGACAUUUGUGACCCAGUGCCAGCUGACCUUCUAGCUCUGCCCACCAGGCAGCCCUCACCCUCUGCCGAGCCGGCUGUUCCCCUUGUGUCCCUCUCUGCCCGUCCAGUGGGCUGGAUGCUCAACUCUAAGCCCUGUGUGUCCAUCUGGGUUUGGAGGCCUCGUCUGCUCUUUCUUCCUCUUGCCAGCAGUGAGCUUAGGGCCUGAAGCAAGGUGAGGCUCAGGACCCGUCCUGACGGAAGCUGGGUGGGGACAGAGGAGCUGCCAUGUCAAGGAUGCUGCCAGAUGGCGGAGAGAGCCCCAGCGCAGCCGCCAAGUGACAGCCUCGGAAACAACGAUGCAGAUGGGAAGGAGCCCCGAGCUACCCAGGGUGGUCUGGCGCCAGUCACUGAAUGCCUAUGGGGCGGGAAUGCACCCCGACAACCCCCCGAAACUCCCACCAAAGGCCUGAUGUGCCCAGCCGGACCCCGCCAGAAGCAGCCAAGCCUGUACCCUGAGCCUCCUAGGGCUGCGAUCAUCGUCACCCUCUCUGCUGGGAAGCCAGGGGACUGAAGAGCAGGGACAGCAGGCAGCUCUGCCCAGGACUGCCUGGUCCUCAGCUUUCUCUGCCAGCACCCAGGGAGCCGGCAUUCUUCACCCUGCCCCCAGGGGCCUGCUGGAUUAAUUGCACCCAAAUGGCCAACCUCCCUCUCCUUAGCAUGAGCCAGAGCCUGAGGUCUUUCCCUACUGAUUCUGCACCUUUGGGCAACCUCUGGGGCUGCUGGGAAGAUGGAUGAGUUAAUAUGCAAAGAAUAUAGAAUGCACCUGGAAUAGAAGACUCAUUGUUACUGCACAUACCAUGUAAUGUGUGUAUAAUAAAUAAUAUACAAUACAGAGAGCAUGCAGCACACACACACUCCAAAAUAUAA